GAAGCCACCAAGAUCUAAGUGCAGCAGUUACCAUCUGUAGCAGAUGUCCAGGAGUUAAUUGAAGAAACUAAUCCAUUCUUGUACACUUGGGGGUGAGAUGAGCCACUGCAAAAGUCCUAUAAAGUAGUAACUCGGACUUGCCUUGUUUUCUGGCCGCUGCUUGCUCUACAUCUUGCUUGGCGUUGUGGGAAUAAGAUAAGAAUAAAGAGAAGCAC
rnacentral:lncRNA from 13 species